rnacentral:lncRNA from 10 species
GCUGCUUUUGCCUCCCUUCUCAGAAGCAAGGCAUCCCAUGGAGACCUCCCCUGCAGGUCUUCCAGGCUCCUCCUUGCCUUCAUUCACCUUCAUGAAGAAAAGAAAAAUGCAUUGUGACACUGAACCACAAUCACCACAUACAUCCUAAGUACGUCUGUCAGAAUGAGAAUUGAAAACUACAAGUAGACUGUACUGUAGUCCAGUUCCAAGUGAAAACUUUGUAAUAAUUUUUUUUAGGAAGAGAAGUUUUAGGGUGUAAGAUCCAAUUCAUAAAAGUUUUAAAAAAUUAUUUGACAUUGAAACUAUGACAACAAAAUUUAAUUUUUAGACUUUAUACAAUUGUUGUAUAAAUGCCUAUGUCAAUUUUAUCUCCUUUUCACAAUAAAUUUUAACAGAGAAAUGAACUUACAUUGCUCGAUUCUCCUAAAACAGUUUUUUCUUCCCUCCUUAAAGAGGAAAAAAAACCUUCCUAGCUUCUCUUACAUAUUAGCCUCUUACUCUUAGUGGAAAUGUGAGACUAUAAAUGGGGUAUUAGCAUUCAUGAAUGUACAGGGAUUCACAGCCUAACAUUCUUCCCUAAUAUUAGGCAGAGAAAAACAUUUUAGUUAUCUGAAUCACAAAAGCAGUUUGAUCCUGAGGUAGUUCGAGAUCUCUGAUGAGGCAGUCAUAUUUCAGAGUGCUAAAAAGGUCUGAAUCAAUCUGGAUAAUCUCUAUGAGGUGAGGCUUUCAGGGCCCCUGUAACAAAAUCAGUCCCGUCAGGAUUCUCCAGGUCUACCCUGGAGCAAAGUCAGUGGCCGCUGGUUCCCAGUGUACUCUGGAGUGGGAGCAGUACAGAUGGAGGCCAAAGAAAGGAAGAACUGCAGUAAUGCAGAGACUCCCAGUACCAUCCAUGGACCCACGUUGGGAAAUACAAUGGCUAAUUAUCAUUGCAAAGGAGACAUUUUGUUGCUGGUUAAAAUUUUGUCACUGAUCAUCAGAAUAAAAACACAAAAUUAAAAAUGUUUUAGAACUCACAGGAAUAUGACCUUAGAAUCCAGUCUAAGGUCCCCAAAGGAGUACUUUCAAAGAUAAUCAAAUACAAAUACCUCUUGAAUCUCAAUUUUCCUUCUCUCCUUUUCUUUGUUGAAUGGUGCUGUCUUAUCCUUAAGAUUAAGGAGUCUAGUUACCUCUUCCAGUUCCAUCUUUGCCUCAAUAAUACUUGGAUCUAGUAGGAUAACUUUAUUGAGAUCAAUUAAGCUUUUCUGAUAAUUCUGUAAGUAGGAAGACAGAGAAAAUAACUUUCAUAAAUAGAAGGAGCCUAGAGUAACCUGAGUGGGAGUGGGGUGGAUGUAGUGAGCUGUGCAGUAUGUGUGCAGGGUCCACAUUAAUACCACUCUUACAAAGUGAGCCUGUGGGGUGAAUAUGCAGCUGAAAUAGUAUAACCCAUGAUACAGUGAACAUCGACUAUAGAAGAAAAAGCACAGGAUCUGGAGUUAGAAAACGCAAGUUAAAUUCUGUAUCACCACAACCUUCCCAGUCCCUAACACAUGAUAAGCACUUGUUGCUUGCUGAAUGAAUAAAUGAAAGAAUGAACUCAUCCUUGUAUUAGCACCUACUAGCAAUGAAACUUAAGAUCCUACUUAACCUUUCUGGGCUUCAGUCUUCUCAUCUUUAACAUAAGGGGAACAAAAGCUCUAUUCAAAUUUUCACAAGGCUGUACCAAGAAAUAAAUGAACAAAUAAUAAGUGGCUUAAACCUAUAAAGGACUAUGCAAAUGGUAGUUAUUAUAAUACUUUUGUUCCAUAAAAUCCUUCCAGGUUGUUUACUCUUCGAAUUGGCUAGAGUCAACAUUUAAUCUUCCAUGAGUCACACAAUACACUGAAGAAGUUGAGGGAAAGAAAGGGCACCUAACAAGACAUGACCACUGAAUCUAGCAGCAAAGACAGAUGCCCCAAAGUCAGUCUGCUGUGACAAGCUAUGUUCUAAACUACAGACUAGACCCAUGUUUUGAAUAAACCAAACUGUGAAGAGGCAAAGAAUUGCAAGGAUGUGUAACCUCUUCAAGUAUUCAUGACACAUCAGUAACAGCAUGCACAAGAGGCUGAGCACAGAUAAGCUGAGCUAGUGAUUAUGUGACAUUCCCGGGGGCCUAGCUGUAAUCCCACAUGCCUUUCCCCUCCCCUACAGCAACACACCAGAGCAAGAGGGACAUAUUUAAAGGGAUAACCUUAAAUCUGCUCUAGUUUAUAAAAGUAAAUUAUUUACAAAGUAUAACAAAUCUCCAGAUACCACUGUCCUAGACCAGCACUGGAACCUUACCGGGGGAAAAAUGACACUGUAUUUAUAUCCUAAGCGUUCUAGGCAGGGAGCCAUACCUGAAAGGCAAGGGAGUGGAGCAGGAGGGCAAGUUGAGGAAGUAAUAAAGGCUGAUUCUUACCAUUCUAAGCAUUUUACAAUUAUUACUUUACCCUCACAACAGCCCUACAAAUAUUAACUUCUAUUGUUCCCAUUUUAAAAAUGAAGAAUGGGAUGGUCACAACAGCAAUGACCAGAAGGUGGAUGAUUACAUGGCAUGGAGCUCAAGGGAAAGGACUGGAAAUAGAGACCUGUGAGCCACAGCCUUGGAAAUGGAAGCUCAGCACCCUAGGAGUCAAUAGGAUCAUUUUCAUGAAUCCGGAAAGUCUCUGCCUAAAGAGCAGCCUGACUGGUUGGAAGAGACAUAAGAAAACAAGAAAUGCAUGUUGACAAGUGUUAGCACUGCAGACAAGCAUGAAGAGGGCAGAAUGGCAGCAAGGGCAUAGACAGAAUUGGGCAAGGAGGCAGCUAAGAGGGGGCGAGGCUCAUUCACUUCACAGAUGGUCUCUGAGCACGUCCAUGUGCCAGGAGCUAAGAGGACCACGGAAAAGACAAAGAAAGACAGACUUAAGUUUUACAUUUAUGGAAGCUUACGUCCUAUGAGGGGAAGCAAUUAAAAACCUGUAAACAAAUGAAUAGAUAAUUACAGACUGUCAUUGAUGUCAUGGAGAAAACUAAAGGUUGAGAUGGAUACUAACAAGAGAGCCUCCUUUUUCUACAGUUACAGGUGUCAGAGAAGUCAAGACCUGAAGAGAACCCAGCCAUGCAGUGUAGAGGGAAGAGCAGAGCUCAUAGAAAGUGUGUCCCAGCACUUUGGGAGGCCAAGCACACACCACCUUCAGAAGAAAAUGUUCUUUAUCUCGAUUGGGAUAUUGGCUACAAGAGGAUAUGCACAUACCAAAAGUCAAUGACCUGCACAAUUACAAUGUAUGAACUUCAUUGUAUUACACCUUAAUAAAAUUGAGCUUAAAAAAUUAUUUCAGGAAGUACUAUUUUCCAAUAUGUUCUGGUUUUUCCUUGUGAUGUUAUUUUCUAUAAAUAUGAACAUUCAUUCCUCAGGAUUUCCAUGCAGAAGAAUCUGUGUGAAGAAAAGUGGAAUGAUACAAUAUCCACUUUCUUCUAAACUAAUGGCAUGGUUUUCUUAGAGAAGAAUGGCAUUUUACAGAUUUACACUGACCAUCAGCUGGCUUAAGGCCCAGAUCACUAUAAGCUUUCAAGUCUCCGAUGUGUCUCUCCCAACUUCCGCUGGGUCACCCAUCUUCUAUUCUGAUGCCUUCCCCACCCAACCUCCAACAGCAAUCCUUGCCGGAGGAACCAGCAGCAUUACUGCUAGUUUCGGUAAUUCAGUACCAAACCUUCCUCUAUCUUAAAAUGAACCUACUAUAACUAACAAUAUUCCUCAGAAAACUAGAGAAUAAAUCAUUAUUUUGGAGCUGGAAGGAAUCUUAGAAGCAAUCUAGUUUCACAUUAUGGUUAGGGGUGAAAUCUGAGGCCUCUAUCAAGGUUUUAGAACUGGUUAGUACAGUUCUAGGAUUAAAUCCAAGAAUAACCUCAAUCCCAUCCCAAGAUCUGGAGAUUUAUG